rnacentral:rRNA from 1 species
GUGAGGAAUUUUCCGCAAUGGACGAAAGCCUGACGGAGCAAUGCCGCGUGAAGGAUGAAGGCCUAUGGGUUGUAAACUUCUUUUCUCAGAAAAGAAUUAUGACGGUAUCUGAGGAAUAAGCAUCGACUAACUCUGUGCCAGCAGCCGCGGUAAGACAGAGGAUGCAAGCGUUAUCCGGAAUGAUUGGGCGUAAAGCGUCUGUAGGUUGUUUAAAAAGUAUUCUGUCAAAGAUUAGGGCUUAACCCUAGAUAGGCAGAAUAAACUUUUAAGCUAGAGUUUGGUAGAGGCAGAGGGAAUUCCCGGUGGAGCGGUGAAAUGCGUAGAGAUCGGGAGGAACACCAAAGGCGAAGGCACUCUGCUGGGCCAAUACUAACACUGAGAGACGAAAUCGAGGGGAGCAAAUGGGAUUAGAAACCCCAGUAGUCC